CCCCAAUUAAAUCGAGCUACCCACCUCCGUAUCGUCGUCGCGGAGGGAGAAUUACUGUGAGAGUUAUGGAGAACACGCGCUAAAAGCUUCUCCUUGAUUAUUCCUUGAGCCGGGGCUAGGGGAAUGGGAAUGAGUUUGAGUGGAAGUAAUUUGAUGAGCAUUAGGAAGAAAGGGUUGAUGGGAAGUGGUGUGGUCACUAUGGUUUGAGGAGGAGGUUGGCCUGGGUUUUGAUAAUGGAGACAGCAACCACGACUCCGUUCGUGUUGUCUUCAACCUUCCGAACCAACUUUUUUGAAUUGCCACCGCACUGCACUGGAAUCUCAUCGCCGGAGUUUGUCGCCGCCGGCCAUGGUUUACUUUCAACGAUGGUGAUUCGGAAAUUGAUAGAUUUAUUUGUUUCCAUACUCAGUUGAGUUCUUUUUAAGUUAUCAAGUCCAGGCAGGAUUAAAACUUUCCAAAUCCAAUCUGUUUCCAAUCAAAUCCAUGUCAGGGUUGGAUACUAAUCCAUUCCAGUCUCAGAUUCUCUCUCAUAUAAGAUCUCAUUGGGAGAGAAUUUGAGUCUGAGAAGAUUAUAAAACCCUAAACUCUUAAACAAAACAAAAAAAACUUUGCCGCUCGACGUAUCCAUGGCCUCAGCUCAAAUCUUAGAGGUUCCGACGGAGUCGGUGAGGGCGGUUAGUUUCAGCUUCUUUACAGACGAAGAGGCGUCAAAGCAGAGUGUCGUCAAGAUUACUAAACCGGACUUGGUUGAUGAAUUAGGAACGCCGGUGCAAGGUGGCCUUUAUGAUCCGGCAAUGGGUCCUCUCGACGACAGAAGCCACACAUGUUGCAGAACAUGUGGCCAGAACGCGUAUAAUUGCCAAGGCCAUUUUGGUCAUAUUGACAUUGUUUUGCCCGUCUAUAAUCCAUUGUUGUUCAAUCAUCUUUACAAACUUCUACAAAGAACCUGCUUCAAUUGUUGCUGUUUUCGAACAAGCCGAGAGCAGGUUCAAAAAUGUGUUUCCCAAUUGGAACUCGUGAUGAGAGGUGAUGUUGUUGCGGCAAAGAGAUUAGACUCUGACUCGUCUAAUCAUCACUCAUAUCUCAAGGAGGGCGGGGAAGGAAAUGAUAGUGAGAGAGACAGGCAUUCGAAGCCGGAAAGAUGGACAUCUCUUCAGUUCACAGAAGCCAUGUCUAUUUUGAAUUGUUCUCUGGAGACACAACAAACGUGCAAGAAUUGUGGACACAAGAAUCCUAAAAUCACUAAACCGACUUUUGGUUGGUUUGAGAGGAGUGGGGCUGAAAAUGCUAGAAAAAAUGUAAUCAGAAAAUGCAAACUGGUAGGACCUUUAACUGUUCAAGAAGAGGGUGAAUCUUGUGGCAACGAUGUUGAUGCAGGCAUAUCUGAUAUAUCUUGUGCAUCCUCAUUUGUGACUCAAGAUACUGCAACGAAGAAGAGUGAAGAACAAGAGAGCAUAGUGCUGGAUCAGUAUUUUAAGCAGAAAGAAGCCUUAUCAGGAGAUCUUACACCAAAAAAGGUAAAAGAAAUAAUGAGCCUUUUGUGGACAAAAGAGGCUCAACUCUGCUCUUAUCUUAGUGAUAUCCAACGCCAAGGAGUGGAAAGAAAAGGUCACUAUAUGUUUUUCUUAGAGAGUGUUCUUGUACCACCUAUCAAAUUUCGUCCUCCGGCUCAUAGUGGUGAUUCUGUGAUGGAGCAUGCGCAAACUGUUUCAUUAGGUGAGGUGGUUCGGGCAAAUUCGUACUUGAAAGAUGCUCUGGAUAAGAACAAAGUGUCGCAGAUAAUUCAGUGCUGGAAGCGACUUCAGGAUUGUAUUAAUCUAAUGUUUGAUGGUGAGUGAAUGUUUAUUUCAAAUAUUUUUUCUCUACGUACCAGUCCAGGGAUGUGUGGCAUUCUGGAGAAGAAGGCAGGCAUGUUUCGCCAGAAACUGAUGGGAAAGAGGGUUAAUUUUGCAUGCCGGUCUGUUAUAUCCCCAGACCCCUAUUUAGCUGUUAAUGAGAUUGGAAUUCCACCAAUCUUUGCAUUGACAUUAACAUAUCCUGAGAGAGUUACUCCGUGGAAUGUUUUCAAGUUGAGAAAUGCUAUUGUCAAUGGUUCUGAAAUCCAUCCUGGAGCUACACACUAUAUUGAUAAAACAUCUAUCAAGUUGCCUCAAAAGCGGAGGGAGCGCCUUUUAUUGUCAAGAAAGUUACCUUCUUCGAAAGGGGCAGGGACACAACAUGGGAAGGGAUCUGACUACGAAAACAAAAUUGUACUUCGUCACUUGCAAGAUGGGGACAUUGUUCUUGUUAAUCGCCAGCCUACACUUCACAAACCCAGUAUAAUGGCUCAUAUAGUUCGUGUGUUGAAGGGGGAGAAAACAUUACGCAUGCACUAUGCAAAUUGCAGUACAUACAAUGCAGAUUUUGAUGGUGAUGAAAUGAAUGUUCAUUUGCCACAAGAUGAAAUUUCUCGUGCUGAAGCUUACAAUUUGGUGAACGCAAACAAUCAAUACGUAAAGCCCACUAGUGGUGUUCCCAUUCGAGCCUUAAUUCAGGACCAUAUCAUAAGUUCUCUGUUCCUUUCAGAAAAGGACACCUUUUUCGACUUGGAUGAAAUGAAUCAGCUUCUGUAUAGUUCUUCUGUUUCAGCAUGUGGUUCAGAAACUUUCUCUGGCAAGCCAGGUCAAAAGGUUCUAAUGUCCAACUCUGAAGAUGCAAUGCAGCUCCCCCUUCCUGCAAUUUGGAAACCAGUGCGUAAGUGGCCUGGCAAGCAGAUCAUCACUACCUUGCUAAAUCGAAUUACAAGUGGUUCUCCCCCACUUACUUUUGAAAAGGAAGCAAAACUUCCAUCUGGGUUUUUCAACUGUAAGACUCCUGUAGAAGAAGAGAGAUCUGCUAAAGGUCACCGAGCAAAAGAGAAGCAGUCAAGAAUAAAAGAAGCUGGUAAAGAUGAUUCAAGGGAAAAAGAGGAGCCAGAUGAGAGCAAGUUGUUAAUCUACAAAAACAACUUGGUGCGUGGAGUGAUUGACAAAAACCAGUUUGGUGAUUAUGGUUUGGUCCAUAAUGUGCAGGAACUCUAUGGUUCGGAAGCUGCAGGAAAAUUGCUUUCUGCUUUUAGCCGUUUAUAUACUGUUUAUUUACAGAUGCAUGGGUUCACAUGUGGAGUUGACGAUCUUUUGCUAUUACAAAGCAAAGACAAAAAAAUGAAGGAACAACUUGAAAGUUGUGAAGAGCUUGGUGAAAAAGUUAUCCGUGAGUUUAUUGGGGUCAGACAAAAUGAAAGAAAAGGUGCAUUGAUAUUGCAAUCGGAUAUUGAAGAAUUUUUGCGCAACAAUGGAGAAUCUGUGUCGGAAAUGUUGGACAGGAAAAUGACAAGUGAACUUAAUAAGAAAAUCUCCAAUUCUGAUGUCUUCAAACAACUGUUUCAGAAAGGUUUAUCAAAACCAUCUGUUAAGAAUUGUAUGUAUCUUAUGACAAGCUCUGGGGCUAAAGGUGGUGUGGCAAAUCUCCAACAAAUUGCUGCAUACUUGGGUCAGCAAGAGCUAGAAGGCAAGCGAGUCCCUCAAAUGGUUUCUGGAAAAACCUUACCAUGCUUCCCUCCAUGGGAUUGGUCACCUCGAGCUGGAGGUUUUAUUAUUGAUCGUUUUCUUACCGGUCUUCAUCCUCAGGAGUAUUAUUUUCACUGCAUGGCUGGCCGUGAAGGGCUGGUUGAUACAGCUGUUAAAACUUCUCGUAGUGGAUACUUGCAAAGAUGCUUAAUCAAGAAUCUCGAAUGCCUUAAGGUUUCUUAUGACUACACUGUUCGCGAUGCUGAUGGUUCGAUUAUUCAAUUCCGAUAUGGGGAGGAUGGUAUUGAUGUCCAUUUGACAAGUUUUGUUCAAAAAUUUGAAAAACUGGCGAAUAAUAAAGAAAUGUUUGACAAGAGAUUUGGUCGUGAAAUUGAUAAGUUCAAUCCCUAUAUUGAUGAGUUGCCUCCCGCUCUCAAAAGAAAAGCAGAGAUGUCAGGUCCUGAUUUCUCUUUGAAGGAAAAGAAUGCCAACUUGAAGUUAAUGGAGCACAAAUUUCUCAGCAGUCUUGCGCAACCAGGAGAACCAGUUGGUAUUCUUGCUGCUCAGUCUGUUGGAGAACCAUCAACACAAAUGACUCUGAAUACCUUCCAUAACGCUGGGCGAAGUGAAAUGAAUGUGACUCUUGGCAUUCCUCGGCUCCAAGAGAUCUUGAUGACUGCUUCAAUUGAUAUCAAGACUCCAGUUAUGACAUGUCCAUUGAGAAUGGGGAAAGCGGAAGAUGCUAAAAGUCUAGCUGUUAGGUUGAAGAGGAUCACCGUGGCAGACAUAAUAGAGAGCAUGAAAGUAAAUAUUAAACCAUUUACACAUCAGGACCAUCAGACCUGCCGUGUUUAUGAGCUUGAGAUGACGUUUUUUAUACCGGAACAUCUUUCGAAAUUUUCAGAAGAUUGGGAGGAACUCCUAAAGGUUAAAUUUGUCAGGGCUUUGGAGGAUGCCAUACAAAAUCAUCUUGUUUUGCUUUCUAAAAUUAGUGGUAUAAAAGAUAUAAAGGCUGAUUCACUGCCGAAGGCAUCAAAUGAGACAGACGAAGAUAUUUCUUGUAACAUAUCCCAGCAUGAGGAAGAAGGUGGCGACGAUGACAAUUUAGAUGACAGUGGUGAAGGAGCUGAGGAUUUUGGGUUGGAUGCACAAAAACGAAAGCGACAGGGUACAGAUGAGAUGGAGUAUGAUGAUGACUGGGAGGAUGAAUUGAAUGAAGGUCAUCAUUCUGAUGGAUUUGACAACGAAAUUGAUAAUGGGGAGAUUGAUGUUGAAAUUGAUAAGGAUGGUGUGACAGGGAUCUCAGAUGCUAAUGAUAAAAUGCAAGAAAGUCGUUCAACUGGAGGUAUAUCUAAGCCACACUCGAAGGGAAAAAAGACCAAAUCAAGAGAUAAAAUAAAAAAGAAGACCAGUGCAAAGCUAGUAAGAAAGGAGUAUGACAGGGCAACUUUUGUGUCAGCCAAGGGCUUCCACUUUGAGAUCCAUUUUAAAUUUACCAAUGAACCUCAUAUUCUUUUGGAUCAGAUUGCUCGGAAGACAGCCCGAAAUGUUUAUGUCAAAAGCUCUGGCAAUAUUUUGGAUUGUCAAGAUAUUGAUAUUUAUGGUAAUGAAGAUCAAGUUUUCUGCUGCUGGAAUGAUCCCAGAAAUAAAUUAUCGGGUGAAAAGAAUCCCUCAGAAGAAGAAAAGAAGAUGCGAGCCUUGCAAACAGCAGGCGUGGAUUUUGCUACUCUAUGGAAACUGCAAGAUGUUCUUGAUGUCAACUAUAUAUGUUCCAACAACAUUCAUGCCAUGCUGAACACUUACGGAGUAGAAGCUGCCAGAGAAACUAUCAUCAAAGAAAUAAGUAACGUUUUCAAGGUGUAUGGGAUAUCUGUCAAUAUUAGACACCUUUCACUGAUAGCUGACUACAUGACUCAUAGUGGUGGUUAUCGUCCAAUGAACAGAUUUGGGGGAAUAGCGGAGUCUACAUCUCCGAUGAAUAAAAUGUCAUUUGAGACGGCUUCCAAGUUCAUUCAGGAAGCAGCAUAUCAUGGGGAGAAGGAUGACUUGGAAACCCCAUCUGCUAGGACCUGUCUUGGGCUGCCGGUGAAAGUGGGUACUGGAUGUUUUGAUUUGAUGCACAAGAUGGAGAUUUAGAUGUAGUUUAACUUUAAUGUAUGUAUAUGCCUUGCUUUAGGGUUGCUUGACCAUUCACGAUUUCAUUACUUAUUUUAUUUUUUAUUAUUUUUGUUACAAAUGAGGCCAAAGUCCCAGAGCAAAACAACUAAAACAAGCU